CAGCAGCCGCGGUAACACGUAGGGUGCGAGCGUUAAUCGGAAUUACUGGGCGUAAAGCGUGCGCAGGCGGUUGUGUAAGACAGGUGUGAAAUCCCCGGGCUUAACCUGGGAACUGCGCUUGUGACUGCACAGCUAGAGUAUGGCAGAGGGGGGUGGAAUUCCACGUGUAGCAGUGAAAUGCGUAGAGAUGUGGAGGAACACCGAUGGCGAAGGCAGCCCCCUGGGCCAAUACUGACGCUCAUGCACGAAAGCGUGGGGAGUAAACAGGAUUAGAUACCCCCGUAGUCCCUGUCUCUUAUAA
rnacentral:rRNA from 1 species